rnacentral:rRNA from 1 species
UACGUAGGGUGCAAGCGUUGUCCGGAGUUAUUGGGCGUAAAGAGCUCGUAGGCGGUCUGUUACGUCGGCUGUGAAAACCUGGGGCUCAACCCCGGGCCUGCAGUGGGUACGGGCAGACUAGAGUGCGGUAGGGGAGACUGGAAUUCCUGGUGUAGCGGUGAAAUGCGCAGAUAUCAGGAGGAACACCGGUGGCGAAGGCGGGUCUCUGGGCCGUAACUGACGCUGAGGAGCGAAAGCGUGGGGAGCGAACAGG